UGGCUCAGUGGUUAAGAGCACUGGCUGUUCUUCCAGAAGACCUGGGUUCAAUUCCCAG
rfam:Cricetulus griseus cell line CHO-K1, whole genome shotgun sequence.